AACAACACCCUACAAAUCUCAGGCGAUUGUUCGAUCGACGAAUCAAUUCCAAAAUUGCCUGAUAAUCAAGCUAUUACGUCUCCGUUUAUCAUCUUUUUAUCUCAAAUUCGGAUUACUACAAAGAGAUAAUUGUUUUAGAAGAACUUUUGUCUUAUAAAAGGAACCGGUUGCAAAGAUGUAUGAUAAUGAAGAUACUACAUCUCUGUUUAUCAUCUCUUAAUCGGAAAAUCUGAAUUCUACAAAGAGAGGUAUUGGGAAAUGAUUGUCAAAAAACCGAUCUUAUAUGGAGGUGGCUUCAAAUAAUGUCGUCUUUGGAGAAGAUAGGAUAACCCUAUAUAAUGUUAAAGGUUAGUGAGAUGAUAAAGAUUGACUAUUUAUUUUUAAUUGUUAUGAAUAGAAAGCUACUCUUAUACAUUUAGAAUUAGUAGUAUUGUUAUAGUCAUUAUAUUUUUGGCAUAGUAUGUUAAAAUGAGUUAACUAUAAAGUCUAUAAUAGCUAUUAGCAACACACUAAUUUAUAUUGUUUGAUAAUACUUAAUCAAACUUACUGAUUAUGCACAUGUAAACGAUACCUUCAUAUAGCCUAAUAAGGUAUAAGUUUCCUCAUUGUUUGAUAAUGAGUAUACACCUUUACUGCUGCUGUAAAUGAAAUAGUUUACAUUUCAUCUCCUCAAGAUGAUUAGGAGAACUCUCUGUUCUUGUCAUAUUUUCGUCGAUCCAAUGUUUUAACUGAUUCU